ensembl:lncRNA
UUUAACUACAAACUAUGAACAAUAUAUGAACUGUUCAAAGUUCACAGAUUACAGCGUUUCCCCUCUGUAACAGCCGGAAGUGUAGUUAAUUGGAAUUUGGGGAAUAUUAUUCAUUCAAUUUUAGAUGCAUGCUCAUUGAAACUAAAGAUGUAACAUACAUUGAAAAGCAUUUACGUUAGAUUGAUGCUCCUUGUUCGUCUCAAAGUGUUGACGUGCAGCACAGAAGAGCUCCGGUACGGUAGUUACUCGAGAUACCUUUACUGGCAAGUAUGUCAACGUUAGCUUACAUUUCUGUAAUGUUGGUGUCCAGUUAGCAUGUCUAACGUUAGCAUACCGAAGAUUUUGGCGGAUGGGACUGCCGGUUAAAUGUUCUAACUCAAAGUGAUGUAACGUUAGCUGCUUAUUAGCAAUUUUGCGCAUGCUUACAUUAGCUACAAGGUUUCCCCGGUCUCAAUUUCUGGAUUACACCACAACCUCAAGGUAAUGUGGUUUAUGUUAACGUUAUGUAAAAUUGGGUUUUAGCUGCCUCAGAAAGUCCGCAUUUACUGGCGCCACCUGCACGUUUUCCUUUGUAAAUACCUGCCCUCUCGUACAGCGCGGAGGCACAUUAGCGCAACUACACUGAGCCGGGUGAGGCUACAUUAGCUUGUUACCAAGCUAAUUAUACGACUUGCACCCAGGUCUCUGUUAAGACUCACGUUACAUCAGCCGGUGUUUGCGUGUUUGACGCGGUAGUUCAUACAUUUGUCAGCAGUGCGGGGUCCUACUCUUGGACUAAAUUAGGUCGGGGGUGGAGGACUCAAGUGCAGAUGAUGCUCGGAGGGACCUGGAGCAAAUCACCAUGGCAAUAUUUGUUGUCUUUCGGAAAGAGGGGAAAGGACUGCAGGAGCCACCUGAAGACAUUAGCAUCGUCAUUGAGGGUGUGGAGGUGUUGCAUCAACUGUCAAAAGCUGUCCGUUUCAGCUUGUGCCCUGCUUCUGGGAUUGAUACUCAACCUCUCUUACCCAAAACCACUUCAUUUCACUUUUAAAGUGCUCCAGAAGAUAAUCAUGGAGCUUGAUCAGCAGAAGAUGUCCCCCAAGGUCCAUAAUCUGUAUGGCAGACUUCAAACACAAUAGUGUUUCGAUAUGGGGCAUUUCACUAUUCAGCCCCUUUGGAUGUUGGGCCUUUGUUAGCUCCAAGAUAAAAAUGUUAAGAUACAAUGUUGUUUUAUAUAUAUUAUCACUUGAUUGUAUACAAAUGCUUCUAUCAUACAUAUGAUUUUUGGGGAAAAAGUUCAAUUUCUGUCAGGUGUUCCCAAACAUUGUUACAUAUCAGAAGGCCAAAUGUGACUUGGCAUGGUUAUGCAUUUUGUGCAUAUUUAUGUUAAAAAAAACACUGGAAACAAAUACAAGCAAUACAUUUUGAAAGCCAUCAAAUUUGACUCUGUCAUUUUUCUUUUAGCCAACUUAAAAUUGGCCAAAAGUACAAUUUUACACCAAGG